rnacentral:rRNA from 1 species
CAGUCGCCGCGGGAAUACGAAGGGGGCUAGCGUUGUUCGGAAUUACUGGGCGUAAAGCGCGCGUAGGCGGACAUUUAAGUCAGGGGUGAAAUCCCGGGGCUCAACCCCGGAACUGCCUCUGAUACUGGGUGUCUAGAGUUCGGAAGAGGUAAGUGGAAUUGCGAGUGUAGAGGUGAAAUUCGCAGAUAUUCGCAGGAACACCAGUGGCGAAGGCGACUUACUGGUCCGAUACUGACGCCGAGGUGCGAAAGCGUGGGGAGCAAACAGGAUUAGAUACCCCCGUAGUCCCUGUCUCUUAUAU